AGCGAACGCUGGCGGCAGGCCUAAUACAUGCAAGUCGAACGGAUCCUUCGGGAUUAGUGGCGGACGGGUGAGUAACACGUGGGAACGUGCCCUUUGGUUCGGAACAACUCAGGGAAACUUGAGCUAAUACCGGAUGUGCCCUUCGGGGAAGAUUUAUCGCCAUUGGAGCGGCCCGCGUCUGAUUAGCUAGUUGGUGGGGUAAAGGCCUACCAAGGCUACGAUCAGUAGCUGGUCUGAGAGGAUGAUCAGCCACACUGGGACUGAGACACGGCCCAGACUCCUACGGGAGGCAGCAGUAGGGAAUCUUGCGCAAUGGGCGAAAGCCUGACGCAGCCAUGCCGCGUGAAUGAUGAAGGUCUUAGGAUUAGUAAAAUUCUUUCAGCGGGGACGAUAAUGACGGUACCGCAGAAGAA
rnacentral:rRNA from 1 species